GGGGCGCAUAGGCCACGUGAUGGAGUAUGGACUUUAUCCUGAAGGCAAUGAGGAACCACUGAAGGAUUUCACAUCAAAGCAGAAGUUACUUUAGUAGGAAACAUUCAUCACAUUUUCUAUAUUAUGAAAUGGAACUGUCAAAGGAGUGAUGUAAAAAUGAUUCAUGAAUUUUCCCACAGUGAAGACCAAAUUUGGCAGGUGUUUUCCUGGGCACCAGCACAUACACUAAAAUUGGAACGAUACAGAGAAGAAUGGCCCCUGCGCAAGGAUGACACACAAAUUUGUGAAGCAUUCCAUAUUUUUUGGUGUUGGGAAAGUUGGGACAGCCGCACGUAAAUCAAUGAAGUUAGAACAAACCCUCACACCAUGCACAAAAAUAAACUCAAAAUGGCUUAAAGACAAAUUUAAGACAUGACACCAUAAAACUCCUAGAAGAGAACAUAGGCAAAACAUUCUUGGACAUAAACCGUACCAAUGUUUUCUUAGGUCAGUCUCCCAAGGCAAUAGAAAUAAAAGCAAAAAUAAACAAAUGGGACCUAAUCAAACUUAUAAGCUUUUGCACAGCAAAGGAAACCAUAAACAAAACGAAAAGACAACUUACAGACUGGCAGAAAAUAUUUGCAAAUGAUGCGAUUGACAAGGGCUUAAUUUCCAAAAUAUACAAACAGCUCAUACAACUCAAUAACAACAACAACAAAAAAUAACCCAAUCAAAAAAUGGGCAGAAGACCUAAAUAGACAUUUCUCCAAAGAAGAUAUACAGAUGGCCAAUAGGCACAUGAAAAGAUACUCAUCAUUGUUAAUUAUUAGAGAAAUGCAAAUCAAAACUACAAUGAGGUACCACCUCACACCAGUCAGAAUGGCCAUCAUUAAAAAGUCUACAAAAAAAAAAAAAUGAAAUAAAAUAAAAACAUUUAAAAAAAAAAGAAAAUGGUCAGAAAAACCUAGCGGCAAGACGGGAAUAAAGAUGCAGACCUACUAGAGAAUGGACUUGAGGAUACGGGGAGGGGGAAGGGUAAGCUGGGACAAAGUGAGAGAGUGGCAUGGAGAUAUAUACACUACCAAACGUAAAAUAGAUAGCUAGUGGGAAGCAGCUGCAUAGCACAGGGAGAUCAGCUCUGUGCUUUG